AGGCCGCCCGCAAAAUCUGGGGCCAUUCCGAGUCCGGCGGACGAACUUCGCCCACGCCCCCCACCAAGGCUAUAGCCCACCCGUUUUUUGGCCAUUUUUCCGCAGGGGGGUCUUGGCGCCCCGACCUUCGGGGGCUGAUUUUUGGGCGCGGCUGUAUCCGUGGCCUAUUUUUGGCACACGGAGUACGCCCACAAAGUCUGGGGCCAUUCCGAGUCCGGCGGACGAACUUCGCCGACGCCCCCCACCAAGGCUAUAGCCCACCCGUUUUUUGGCCAUUUUUCCGCGGGGGGGUCUUGGCGCCCGGACUUUCGGGGGCUGAUUUUUGGGCGCGGCUGUGCCCGUGGCCUAGUUUUGGCACACGGAGGCCGCCCGCAAAGUCUGGGGCCAUUCCGAGUCCGGCGGACGAACUUCGCCCACGCCCCCCACGAAGGCUAUAGCCCAUCCGUUUUUUGGCCAUUUUUCCGCUGGGGGAUCUUGGCGCCCCGACCUUCGGGGGCUGAUUUUUGGGCGCAGCUGUGCCCGUGAACUAUUUUUGGCACACGUAGGCCGCCCACAAAGUCUGGGGCCAU
rnacentral:lncRNA from 1 species